rnacentral:rRNA from 3 species
CAGCCAUCCCGCGUGUAUGAUGAAGGCCUUCGGGUUGUAAAGUACUUUUGGCAGAGAAGAAAAGGUAUCUCCUAAUACGAGAUACUGCUGACGGUAUCUGCAGAAUAAGCACCGGCUAACUACGUGCCAGCAGCCGCGGUAAUACGUAGGGUGCAAGCGUUAAUCGGAAUUACUGGGCGUAAAGCGUGUGUAGGCGGUUCGGAAAGAAAGAUGUGAAAUCCCAGGGCUCAACCUUGGAACUGCAUUUUUAACUGCCGAGCUAGAGUAUGUCAGAGGGGGGUAGAAUUCCACGUGUAGCAGUGAAAUGCGUAGAUAUGUGGAGGAAUACCGAUGGCGAAGGCAGCCCCCUGGGAUAAUACUGACGCUCAGACACGAAAGCGUGGGGAGCAAACAGGAUUAGAUACCCUGGUAGUCCACGCCCUAAACGAUGUCAACUAGCUGUUGGGGCCGUUAGGCCUUAGUAGCGCAGCUAACGCGUGAAGUUGACCGCC